rnacentral:lncRNA from 1 species
CUCUCCAGCCACCUGGCGGCCCGGCAGCGUCAGCCAGGUGCGCGCCCGGCCCCACAUCCUCUGGGUCACGCCCCCGAGGCCGCAAGGCGUCUGAGAAGCAGCCCCGGCUCUGACCCGCCAGCCCUCGGAAGAAGCAGACCCUGGCCGGUCCAUGGCAGUGGCCCGAGGGGCACCAGCGCGGAGCACCAGCGACCCCCAAGGAACGACGUUGCAGAUGAUGCUCUACCAAGAGUUGGAAGGACUCCCCAGGGAAUCCCACAAGACACUGCGCUUCCUAUGCCUCCUUUCCCUCGUUUAAAAAAUGGGGAUAAGAAGGUUGGCUACUGCUCCGACAGCCCUCACAAUGGAAGAGUAGCACUUCAUUUGUGGGUUAACAAAGGGCAACGCUGAAAUCUCCACUUCCACUAUUGAAUGGAACUGUGUCAUAAUAUCUGUUAGAGGCGUGCAAACUCGGCCACAAGGUCAUGGUCAUACGUUAUUGUUGGUCAAAAGCCGCAGCCCUACCUGAGGCUUUGAGAGAUAUGAACACCAAUGACUUUUCUUUUCCUGACUCCCGAAAUACCAAGAAAAAGCAACUUCCCCAAAUGGACAGAAACAGAAAGUACCCUUGGUUGAACACAGAGGCCUGGUUCCAGCCAUCGUUAGACGUGGGAAGGAACUCAGACCCCCUCUCCUACCUCAUCCCCAACCCCUUCCCCACACGUCACCCUUUCACAGAGAAGGAACCAGAGCCACCAAGGGCUGAGAGAGGACUUGAUAAGGAUUCCAGUCUUCUGUCUCCCCUGUCCCCACUUUUUCCACCACAAAAAUAUGGACAUUUGGAAGAAGAGGAGAAGAGGGAAGGUACACACUGUGCAAAGGAAGAAAAUGGCAGAAAUGCUCUGGAAUCAGGAAUUCAGGAGCAAGAAUGACACUGUGUGCCAGAUGGAAAUGUUGGAUUAGGAGAGCACUUGGAAAGGCAAAUAAUCUGCCAGAGAAAUUAUGGGAUGCCUGCCUUCUGAAAAUGGAGGAAAACUGCAAAAGAGUGGCUCAUUGGUGCUCACUCCUAGGGCUCUGAGCAUCCCAAGAAGCCAACUUGGUCCCAUCGUACAUCCCCUCAGAAGUAGGCAUUCUCCUCUCCACCUACAGCUGUGGCCCAGAUGUGGAGCCUGCAUGUUAUGCCACGCCGUCAACACUGAGUUCUGUCUGCGUCUCCCUGUCACAGAUCUGAUCAGCACCUGACACCUAUCCAUUCUCCAUUUCCCACCUCCCCAAAGCUGCUGGAAAAACUCUGAAAGGUACCUCUGUCACUCAUUAAGCAUCUGAUUAUGUACCUCUUUCUACAACUCCUUUGUUGCUUUGUUUUAAAAUCUAUGGCUCUUUGAAAUCACUCUCCUUCCUUUCACUGCCUAAUGUUUUCAAAGAGGAGUCUACCCCUGCCUCCACUUCCUCAUCUUACAUUUAUUCCUCAAUUCUCUGAACAGAGACCACCAGGGAAACCCCAAAUGUCAACUCCAAUGGUUUCAUUUUCUUACCUCACUACAGCAUUUGGCACCACUCCUUCUUGAAAAUCCCCUCCUUGGCUUCUCCUCCACCUCUCACCAUGAUUUCUGUUUUCUUCUUCUGGCUUCAUUUCUUCAUCAUCUCUUAAACAUUACAAUGCUUGAGAUUUCAGAUAAGGCUGCUUCUCUUCUCCCUGGGCAAUCUCAUCCAUUCCCAUCAUACUGAUCCCUCCCAAACUAUCGCCCAGACUUCUCUCUUGAGCUCCAGAUCUGUAAUUCCAAGUGUUUUCUGUACACCCAUACCUAGAUAAUCAAUCCAAAAGCCUUUUAAUUACUCCAUGACCUAAAAUAAAUUCCUCAUCUUCUCCCAAACUCCUUCUCCUGCCUUCCCUAUCUCAGUUGACAUCAUUACUAUCCACCAGUGGAUAGUAAGAUUUCUAGUAACUUAUAGCCAGAAUAUAUAAAGAACUCCCACAACUCAAAAGUAGUAAAGACAAAGAAUCCAAUUUAAAAAUGGGCAAAAGACUUGAACAGACACUUCAACAAAAAAAAGAUAUGCGCAUGGCCAAUAAACACACGAAAAGGUGCUAACAUGAUGAGUCUUUGGGGAAAUGCAAACUUAAACCAUGAGUUACCACUUUACAGUCAUUAGAAUAGCUAAAAUUCAUACUGAAAACACCAAAUGUUGGCAAGGAUGUGGAGCAACUGAAACACUCAUAUAUUGCUUGUAGGAGUGUAACACGGCACAACAAGUUUGGGAAACUGAUUGGCAGUAUCUAAUAAAGGUGAAUCUCACAAAAAUGAUGCUGAGCAAAAGAAGCCAGACACAAAAGAAAAUAUAGUGCAUGAUUCCAUUUAUAUGAAGUUCAAGAACCAGCAAACUAACUUAUAGUGAUAGGAGUCAGAAUGAUGGUUAUCUUGGGGGAAGGGAACAAUUUAGCCAGAAAGUGGACAUGAGUGAACUUUCUGGGGUGGUGUUUUUAUCUUGAUGGUGGUUAAAUGGUUUCUGCAUAUGCACAAGUUAGUGAGAUCUUCACUUAAAAGUUACAUAUUCUGCUCUUUGUAAAUUAUAUCCCAGUACAUAAAAUAUGUGAGAAAAGAAAAUCCACAUUGGUCUUCCUGUCACCCAGUGCAGUGGCAUGAUCAAUGCUCCCUGCAGCCUCAAAUUCCUGGGCUCAAGCCAUCCUCCUGCCUCAGGCAUGCCUAGCUAAUUAUUAUUAUUAUUAUUAUUAUUAUUAUUAUUAUUAUUAUUAUUAAUUUGGUAGAAAUGGAGUCUUGCUGUGUUGCCCAGGUAGGUCUCAAACUCCUAGGCUUAAACAAUACUCCCACCCGGGCCUCCCAAAGUGCUGGGAUUACAGGUGCAAGCCACUGUGCCUGGCUGACAUUGGGCUUUUAUAUCUUCAUGCCCUUCCUCUCUCUGUCCUCUCUGCUUAAAAUACCUCUCUCCACUUAUUUAUUUGACUGAAUGCUUACUGACUAUUCAUGAUAAUCAGGAGAACCACCUCAACUUCUAUUCCAGAAUAAAUAUAGACUCCCUCCUGGUAAAAAUAAACAGAGAGAGAAAAAGUAAUGAUAUGAAAACACAAAAAGAUUCAGACUUUCAACAGAACGGAACAUGGUCAGAGAAAAUUAGUUUCCUUUGAAAUGAAAUUUCCACAAGAAGAAGAGGAAAAAAAAUUAAACAUCUUUCUCUUUUAUGUUUUUAAUAAUAUUUGGGAGGAUAUUGUAUUUGCAAGUGUAGUGGAUUAUGUAAUUACAAACUGAAAUUACAAGGAAUCAUUAAGAAAUUACAAACUGAAAUUAGGAAACAUUUUUAGCUUGCUAAAUUUAAACCUCAAUGGAAACAAUGAACAGAAGAUUGGGAACCGAAGAAAGCUGAAUGUGUGACCCAGAACUCAAGCUUGAAAAUUUAUCCUGGAAUUCAGAAGAGAAAAGAUGAUCUGUGAUAGCUAGACUAUAGAGGUCUAAUAUGUGUAUAACAGUAAUUCCACAAGGAGAGAGAGGAGAAAAUAAAAUAUAUGGCAGAAGAAAUUUUCUCUGAACUAAAGAAAGAUUUGCAUCUUCUACUCAAUAUCUUAACUUUCCUGGUAAGACAUGAAUUACCAAAAAUUGACUUAAGAAGAGAUACACUCUGAAUAGACCAAUAACCAUGGAAUUGUAUAAAUUAUCAAAGAACAUCUCUCUUGAAAGUCUCCAUGUCUUGGUAGUUACAUAGAUGACUUCUAUCAAAUUUUAAAGGACAGAAUUCUACCAUGCUUUUAAAAAAUACUACCAUGAAAAAUAUAGUAUGCUAACCUUUCAUGUAAAAAAGAAAGAGAAAUAAGAAAAUAUGCAUGUAUCUUCUCAUUUGUAGAAAAACAAGUAUAGGAAGGAUCAACCAGAAACUGAUGAGAUUGGUUACCUACAGUGGAUAGGUAGGGAUAGUCUGGAAAGAAUGGGAGAUUGGGGGUAAGGAUAGAAGGGAUGGGAGAAAUGACAAUUCUCUGAGUAUGCUGUUUGUACAGUUCUUACUUUGAGGACCAUGAUAAUGCUACAUAUAUCCUCAUCUCACCCUAAAGUAGUAAGUUUACAUCAAUCAGGAUGUGAUGGGAACCCAAAACUGAAUAUGAACAGUAACAAAUGAACCUAUUACAAAUGAAUGAUAUAAUCAUACUGAGGAAGGAGAAGACAAAAGGAACUAACCAAGUAACAUAGAAAACCAUAUUUUGACUACAUACUAUAAGUAUGUGCCCUGUCCAAAUCUCAUACUGAAAUGUAAUCCCCAGUGCUGGAGGUGGGGCCUGUUGGAAGGUGAUUGGAUCAUGGGGGCAGAUUUCUCAUGAAUGGUUUUUCACCAUCCCUCUUGGUACUGUCCUCUUGAGAGUGAGUUCUCAUGAGAUCUGGUCAUUUAAAAGUGUGUAGUACUGGGCAGGCGCAGUGGCUCAUGCCUGUAAUCCCAGCACUUUGGGAGGCCAAGGCAGGCGGAUCAUGAGGUCAGGAGAUUGAGACCAUCUUGGCCAACAUGGUGAAAUUCCGUCUCAACUAAAAAUACAAAA